GACGAACGCUGGCGGCGUGCCUAAUACAUGCAAGUUGAGCGCUGAAGGUUGGUACUUGUCCCGACUGGAUGAGCGGCGAACGGGUGAGUAACGCGUGGGGAAUCUGCCUUUGAGCGGGGGACAACAUUUGGAAACGAAUGCUAAUACCGCAUAAAAACUUUAAACACAAGUUUUAAGUUUGAAAGAUGCAAUUGCAUCACUCAAAGAUGAUCCCGCGUUGUAUUAGCUAGUUGGUGAGGUAAAGGCUCACCAAGGCGAUGAUACAUAGCCGACCUGAGAGGGUGAUCGGCCACAUUGGGACUGAGACACGGCCCAAACUCCUACGGGAGGCAGCAGUAGGGAAUCUUCGGCAAUGGACGAAAGUCUGACCGAGCAACGCCGCGUGAGUGAAGAAGGUUUUCGGAUCGUAAAACUCUGUUGGUAGAGAAGAACGUUGGUGAGAGUGGAAAGCUCAUCAAGUGACGGUAACUACCCAGAAAGGGACGGCUAACUACGUG
rnacentral:rRNA from 1 species